ensembl:rRNA 5S_rRNA 5S ribosomal RNA
GGCCACAGCUAUAUCACCCUGCAGCCCAAGACCCGUUACUCACUGAUGCUAAGCAGGGCUGAGCCUGGUCAUUACCUAGAUGGGAUACCCCAUGAGAAAACUAGGUUGCUGUUGGAA